GAUGAACGCUAGCGGCAGGCUUAAUACAUGCAAGUCGUGGGGGAGCAUGAGUGUAGCAAUACAUUUGAUGGCGACCGGCAAACGGGUGCGGAACACGUACACAACCUUCCUAUAAGUGGGGAAUAGCCCAGAGAAAUUUGGAUUAAUACCCCGUAACAUAAUGAUGUGGCAUCACAUUAUUAUUAUAGCUUCGGCGCUUAUUGAUGGGUGUGCGUAUGAUUAGAUAGUUGGCGAGGUAACGGCUCACCAAGUCUACGAUCAUUAGCUGAUGUGAGAGCAUGAUCAGCCACACGGGCACUGAGACCCGGGCCCGACUCCUACGGGAGGCAGCAGUAAGGAAUAUUGGUCAAUGGACGAAAGUCUGAACCAGCCAUGCCGCGUGAAGGAUUAAGGUCCUCUGGAUUGUAAACUUCUUUUAUAUGGGACGAAAAAAGGUCUUUCUAGAUCACUUGACGGUACCAUAUGAAUAAGCACCGGCUAACUCCGUGCCAGCCGCCGCGGUAACAC
rnacentral:rRNA from 1 species